rnacentral:rRNA from 1 species
AACGAACGCUGGCGGCAUGCCAAACACAUGCAAGUCGAACGAGAUCUUCGGGUCUAGUGGCGCACGGGUGCGUAACGCGUGGGAAUCUGCCCUUGGGUUCGGAAUAACAGUUGGAAACGACUGCUAAUACCGGAUGAUGUCUUCGGACCAAAGAUUUAUCGCCCAGGGAUGAGCCCGCGUAGGAUUAGCUUGUUGGUGAGGUAAAGGCUCACCAAGGCGACGAUCCUUAGCUGGUCUGAGAGGAUGAUCAGCCACACUGGGACUGAGACACGGCCCAGACUCCUACGGGAGGCAGCAGUGGGGAAUAUUGGACAAUGGGCGAAAGCCUGAUCCAGCAAUGCCGCGUGAGUGAUGAAGGCCUUAGGGUUGUAAAGCUCUUUUACCCGGGAUGAUAAUGACAGUACCGGGAGAAUAAGCCCCGGCUAACUCCGUGCCAGCCGCCGCGGUAA